UAGCAUCGGAACAUGUCCAUUCGUGGGGGAUAGCCCGGCGAAAGCCGGAUUAAUACCGCAUACGCCCUGAGGGGGAAAGCGGGGGACUUCGCAAGAGGCCUCGCGCGAAUGGGUUGGCCGAUGUCCGAUUAGCUAGUUGGUGGGGUAAAGGCUUACCAAGGCGAUGAUCGGUAGCUGGUCUGAGAGGAUGAUCAGCCACACUGGGACUGAGACACGGCCCAG
rnacentral:rRNA from 1 species